rnacentral:rRNA from 1 species
CACUCAUUCAAAGAGUGCGUAAUAGCUCACUGGUCGAGUGAUCCUGCGCCGAAGAUUUCCGGGGCUAAAACUUACUACCGAAGCUACGGCAUCAGUAAUGAUGGGUAGGGGAGCUUCCCAUACGGGUUGAAGCAUGACCGUAAGGACAUGUGGACAGUAUGGGAGUGAGAAUGUUGGCAUGAGUAGCGAGAUGUGGGUGAGAAUCCCACAGGCCGUAAACCCAAGGUUUCCAGGGGAAGGUUCGUCCGCCCUGGGUUAGUCGGGACCUAAGCUGAGGCCGAAAGGCGUAGGUGAUGGACAACAGGUUGAUAUUCCUGUACUACCGAUAACCGUGUGAGAGAAGGGAUGACACAGUAGGAUAAGCUAAGCACACUGUUGGUUAUGUGUGCCCAAGCAUUGAGGCAGUCAAAGUAGGCAAAUACGCUUUGAUAAUGCUGGGAUGUGAUGGGGAGCGAACUUUAGUAGCGAAGUAGCUGAUUUCACACUGUCAAGAAAAGUCUCUAUCGAGGUUAAAGGUACCCGUACCGCAAACCGACACAGGUGGGUGAGGAGAGUAUCCUAAGGCCAGCGAGAGAACUGUUGUU